GUCUACGGCCACACCACCCCGAACGCGCCCGAUCUCGUCUGAUCUCGGAAGCUAAGCAGGGUCGGGCCUGGUUAGUACUUGGAUGGGAGACAAAUCCCACAUGCUGGGUGCUACAGCUG
rnacentral:rRNA from 1 species